rnacentral:rRNA from 1 species
ACCUCAGUAACGGCGAGUGAAGCGGUAACAGCUCAAAUUUGAAAUCUGGCUCUUCCGGAGUCCGAGUUGUAAUUUGUAGAAGAUGCUUUGGGAGGUAGGGCCGGCCUAAGUUCCUUGGAACAGGACAUCAGAGAGGGUGAGAAUCCCGUAUGUGGCCGUGGCCUACGCCCGUGUAAAGCUCUUUCGACGAGUCGAGUUGUUUGGGAAUGCAGCUCAAAAUGGGUGGUAAAUUUCAUCUAAAGCUAAAUAUUGGCCAGAGACCGAUAGCGCACAAGUAGAGUGAUCGAAAGAUGAAAAGCACUUUGGAAAGAGAGUUAAACAGUACGUGAAAUUGUUGAAAGGGAAGCGCUUGCAACCAGACUUGGGCGUCGUCGAUCAUCCGGGGUUCUCCUCGGUGCACUCGACGAGGCACAGGCCAGCAUCGGUUUGGAUGGUUGGAGAAAGGCCCUAGGAACGUAGCUCUCUUCGGGGAGUGUUAUAGCCUAGAGCGCAAUGCAGCCCAUCCGGACCGAGGACCGCGCCUUUGGCUAGGAUGCUGGCGUAAUGGUUGCAAGC